rnacentral:tRNA from 1 species
GGAAGUAUGGCAGAGUGGUUUAAUGCAACGGUCUUGAAAACCGUCAGUCAGAGAUGGCUCGUAGGUUCGAAUCCUACUACUUCCGCCA